rnacentral:rRNA from 1 species
GAUGAACGCUGGCGGCGUGCCUAAUACAUGCAAGUCGAGCGAACAGAUAAGGAGCUUGCUCCUUUGACGUUAGCGGCGGACGGGUGAGUAACACGUGGGUAACCUACCUAUAAGACUGGGAUAACUUCGGGAAACCGGAGCUAAUACCGGAUAAUAUUUCGAACCGCAUGGUUCGAUAGUGAAAGAUGGUUUUGCUAUCACUUAUAGAUGGACCCGCGCCGUAUUAGCUAGUUGGUAAGGUAACGGCUUACCAAGGCGACGAUACGUAGCCGACCUGAGAGGGUGAUCGGCUACACUGGAACUGAGACACGGUCCAGACCCCGACGGGAGGCAGCAGUAGGGAAUCUUCCGCAAUGGGCGAAAGCCUGACGGAGCAACGCCGCGUGAGUGAUGAAGGUCUUCGGAUCGUAAAACUCUGUUAUUAGGGAAGAACAUACGUGUAAGUAACUGUGCACGUCUUGACGGUACCUAAUCAGAAAGCCACGGCUAACUACGUG